rnacentral:lncRNA from 1 species
CAAAGCGGGACAGCAAAGUCCUGGACAGAAAAGGCCACUGGGAGAGUUUCCUGGGGCUCAGCCAGGCUGCUGUCUUGUUCACACCCCCAGGAGGGUAAAGUGCUCUGGGUUAUCCAUAGCUCACUCAGUAGGGGUAAGUGAGAGGAAGGGGAGGUGAGCAGGAACAGACAUAUUGAUGACGGGGCUCAUACAACGUGAUUUUGUCAUUCCAGCCACCUGGUGUCCUCCGUGGGUUUCGGAUCCCAAGCUAAUGCCCCCUUUUCCCUACUAUAGCAAUGUUGAAGGCCCCUUCAGCACCCCUAUUGCCCUUCAUACCAUAAUUUGGCUGAAUAACUCCAGUCCCCACCUUGUCCCAUGAAUUCUCAACAGGUUUCAGUAGGGGUUCAGUGUGGUUUCCUGGUCUUCUCCCUUCCCCUUUGCUUGAGUGAUGUAGUGGGUUGAACACAUCCCCCCACAAAAGUAUGUCUAAGUCCUAACCCCUGGAACCUAUGGAGGUAACUUCCUUUGGAUAAAAAGUUCUUUGCAAAUGUAAUGUAAGGAUCUUGAGGUCAAAUCAUCCAGGAUUUAGCCGGGCACCGUAGAUCCAAGGACACCUGAAGAAGAGGAGAGGACACACAGACCCAGAGGAAAAGGUUAUGUGAAGAUGGAGUCAGGAAUUGAUGAGCACCACAAGCCAAGGUACAGCAAAGAUGGCCAGCAGCCACCAGAAGCUAAGAGAGAGGCAUGGAACAUGUUCUCCCUCAGAGCCUACAGAAGGAGCCAGCCCUGACAACACCUUCACUUUGGACUUCUGGCCUCCACCAAAUGAGAGAAUAAGUUUCUGUUGUUUUCCGCCACCCAGUUUGUUAAUUUGUUAUGGCAACGCCACGAAACUAGGAGAGUAUAAUUUGGAAAAGAUCUUUAAGAUCCGCCACCCAGUUUGUUAAUUUGUUAUGGCAACGCCAGGAAACUAAUGCGCCACCACGCCCAGCUAAUUUUUGUAUUUUUAGUAGAGACGGGGUUUCACCAUCUUAGCCAGGAUGGUCUCGAUCUCCUGACCUCAUGAUCUGCCCGCCUUGGCCUUCCAAAGUGCUGGGAUGACAGGCAUGAGUCACCGUGCCCAGCUGUCCUUUUCUUAAAUGAUAGAAUUUUCUCUAUGGGGCAAAGCAAUGCAACAUUCACAAUCAGAGAAAAGAAAUCCUCGCACCCUCACUAUUCUCUUUGGUCUUUUCCUCUCCCAGGCACCAGCCCUUUCACCUGAUGUCAGAGCAGCACAGCUGAAAGCUGUAACCUGGGUGAGGUGGAGGGCGACUAGCAGGCAUGCGCAGCCCAGCUCACUUCCGACUCACAUUUCAAGUGCUCAACAGACACAUGUGACAAGUGGCUACUAUGUUGGACAGCAGAGAUCUAGACCCUCUAGUGAAGCCCCGAUCAGAAUUG